rnacentral:rRNA from 1 species
UACAGAGGUGGCAAGCGUUGUUCGGAAUUACUGGGCGUAAAGGGCGCGUAGGCGGUUCGUCAAGUCCUGUGUGAAAUCCCCCGGCUCAACUGGGGAACUGCACAGGAAACUAGCGGGCUUGAGUUCGGGAGAGGGAAGCGGAAUUCCGGGUGUAGCGGUGAAAUGCGUAGAUAUCCGGAGGAACACCGGUGGCGAAGGCGGCUUCCUGGACCGACACUGACGCUGAGGCGCGAAAGUGUGGGGAGCGAACAGG